AGUCAGCCUGUGCUUUGAAGCUUUGAAGUCAGGCAUUGACUUCUCUCUAGAUAUUAAAGUCCUUAGGUAGACAUAGGUAGAU
ensembl:miRNA